rnacentral:rRNA from 1 species
AGCGAACGUUAGCGGCGGGCCUAACACAUGCAAGUCGAACGCGAAAGGUCUUCGGACUGAGUAGAGUGGCGCACGGGUGAGUAACACGUAGGUAAUCUACCCUUUGGCGGGGGAUAACGUUCCGAAAGGAGCGCUAAUACCGCAUAAGACCACGGAGUCUCCGGACGCUGUGGGAAAAGGUGGCCUCUUCUUGAAAGCUACCACCGAAGGAUGAGCCUGCGUCCCAUCAGCUAGUUGGUAAGGUAAUGGCUUACCAAGGCGAAGACGGGUAGCUGGUUUGAGAGAAUGAUCAGCCACACUGGCACUGGAACACGGGCCAGACUCCUACGGGAGGCAGCAGUGAGGAAGUAUUGGGCAAUGGGCGAAAGCCUGACCCAGCCACGCCGCGUGAGUGAUGAAGGCCCUCGGGUCGUAAAGCUCUGUGGAGAGGGACGAAAACCCUGGUUUCAAAUAGGCUCCAGGCUUGACGGUAUCUCUUUAGCAAGCACCGGCUAACUCUGUGCCAG